AGUUACGAACGAACGAAACAGCCAUUUUUAGUUGAAUUUAAUAGAAUCGUAAUUGUGUCCCGCAGUUCUUUAACGUUUUAGGUUCUCGUCUUGUUUGAUUCGUGAAUAGCAAUCAACGUAUGUUGAAAUUACGAAAGACCAAUGAAAACGAAGUAGUCUACGGCAGUGGUAAUUUAAAGCUUGAUUGUCCUUUUAACUAGGAAUCGCGAUCUGAUAAUGGGUAAUGCUGGGAGCAAUCAACCGAUUGGUCAUCAUCACAGCAACACCAGUAGCAGGGAACAUCGUCAUACCAAAGACCAUCCCCCGCCGUCACCAGGAAAAGAAGGCCAAGCUUUCGUUUUCGAUAAAAAGCCAAGUCAAAAGUUGGUUUUCCAAUCAUCUAACGAAGAAGAGGAGCCUUAUUUUGCUAAAGUACAUCGAACCGGUCACCAUGACAGAGAUGACUUUGGUUCUCAACGUCCACGUUCCAACACCGUAUCAGAAGGUACAAAAGUAACGGACAGUAAGGUGCUACCGACGGUCUUUAAAUGGGAAGGAGGUGGUAAACAAGUUUAUAUCAGUGGAACUUUUACCGGUUGGAAAACUUUGCCAAUGGUUAAGAGUCACGGUGAUUUUGUAACAAUUAUUGAUUUACCAGAGGGAGAACAUCAGUACAAGUUCUUUGUCGAUGGUGAAUGGAGACACGAUCCGGACAUAAAAAUUGUUGACAAUGGCAUGGGUUCCAAAAAUAAUUUAGUAUCCGUUAGGAAAUCUGAUUUUGAAGUUUUUCAAGCACUCGCGAAAGAUAGCGAGGGUAUUAUUAGCAGUGCUCAAACAGAGUACGGUCAAGAAAUUCCUCCUCACAAACCUUGGGAGAAAGUAGCUGGGCCACCGAUAUUACCGCCGCAUCUGCUGCAAGUAAUUCUGAAUAAAGACACACCCUUGUCUUGCGAACCAACACUUCUACCAGAACCAAAUCACGUUAUGUUAAAUCAUCUCUACGCCUUAAGUAUCAAAGACAGCGUAAUGGUUUUGUCGGCAACGCAUCGUUACCGCAAAAAAUACGUCACAACUUUACUAUACAAACCGAUCUAAACCUCUGAAUCAUUCCCGAUGUUGUCGGCGAUCGUUAGUUACAUCGAAUCAAUACAUGUUUUGUAGAAAAUAUGUUCCAGAAGCCGCUUUGUCAACGUGUUCUCCCAUAAAUGCAGUAUCGGAAUAGUUGCAAUUGCCACCCAUAAACUGAUCCCAGGUAUUGCAUUUCCUUGCCACAAAUCCCGCCUUGGUGGCUAUACUUUCCGUAAAGUACACGUACGAUCUUCCAUGACUACAUGCCUCUGAAAAAAAAAAGAAAGGAAACAGUGAAACAACAUAGAAACGUGUUUAAAGGUUGAACAGCUGUUCCCGCGUUUGGGUAAAAGUCUGCGCUACCUAGAGGUUGUAAAAACCCUAAUACACCGCCGCAUGAGUGAAUAAUAUCGACGAACAACGCGUCUGUAGAAUCCAGUCGGGUCUUGUCUGUUGUGAG